GGUCUCGUAGUGUAGCGGUUAACACGCCUGCCUGUCACGCAGGAGAUCGCAGGUUCGAUUCCCGUCGAGACCGCCA
rnacentral:tRNA from 1 species